rnacentral:rRNA from 1 species
CGGACGGGUGAGUAAUGUCUGGGAAACUGCCCGAUGGAGGGGGAUAACUACUGGAAACGGUAGCUAAUACCGCAUAACGUCGCAAGACCAAAGAGGGGGACCUUCGGGCCUCUUGCCAUCGGAUGUGCCCAGAUGGGAUUAGCUAGUAGGUGGGGUAACGGCUCACCUAGGCGACGAUCCCUAGCUGGUCUGAGAGGAUGGCCAGCCACACUGGAACUGAGACACGGUCCAG